GACACUGAACAUUGAGCCUUGAUGUGUAGGAUAGGUGGGAGGCUUUGAAGCGUGGACGCCAGUCUGCAUGGAGCCGACCUUGAAAUACCACCCUUUAAUGUUUGAUGUUCUAACGUGGACCCGUGAUCCGGGUUGCGGACAGUGUCUGGUGGGUAGUUUGACUGGGGCGGUCUCCUCCUAAAGAGUAACGGAGGAGCACGAAGGUUGGCUAAUCCUGGUCGGACAUCAGGAGGUUAGUGCAAUGGCAUAAGCCAGCUUGACUGCGAGCGUGACGGCGCGAGCAGGUGCGAAAGCAGGUCAUAGUGAUCCGGUGGUUCUGAAUGGAAGGGCCAUCGCUCAACGGAUAAAAGGUACUCCGGGGAUAACAGGCUGAUACCGCCCAAGAGUUCAUAUCGACGGCGGUGUUUGGCACCUCGAUGUCGGCUCAUCACAUCCUGGGGCUGAAGUAGGUCCCAAGGGUAUGGCUGUUCGCCAUUUAAAGUGGUACGCGAGCUGGGUUUAGAACGUCGUGAGACAGUUCGGUCCCUAUCUGCCGUGGGCGCUGGAGAACUGAGGGGGGCUGCUCCUAGUACGAGAGGACCGGAGUGGACGCAUCACUGGUGUUCGGGUUGUCAUGCCAAUGGCACUGCCCGGUAGCUAAAUGCGGAAGAGAUAAGUGCUGAAAGCAUCUAAGCACGAAACUUGCCCCGAGAUGAGUUCUCCCUGAGACUUUAGGUCUCCUGAAGGAACGUUGAAGACGACGACGUUGAUAGGCCGGGUGUGUAAGCGCAGCGAUGCGUUGAGCUAACCGGUACUAAUGAACCGUGAGGCUUAACCUUACAACGCCGAAG
rnacentral:rRNA from 1 species